UGAGUAGAGGCGCAAAUUUUAUCAGUAACCGCCGUCAUAACCGCUUAAACGGGACGGAGCGAAAGGAAGAUUUGCCGAAGCAUUGCGGGGUUUAAGAUCCGCAAUAUGCUGGGCGACGGAAUAACAUUCCGGCGACUGUCGCUUUUUAUAAAGCGGUGAGCUAACG
rnacentral:ncRNA from 1 species